GUCAGACACAUUCAAUCUGACAUACAUUUUUUAUUCUUUAUGAAUCUUUAUUUUUGUUGUGCAUGGAAUAACAGUAGGCUUGCUCAGCCACAACAGCAGCCGCAGGCAGAGUGAUAACAGGCAUUAUAUGUAUGACAUGGCAUGUAAAUAGACAGUACAAUUGUUUAGUUUAUAGUAACAGGAGGGAUAGACAGUGGAGAGACAAAACAUAUAGAGUUGAGCGGACACCUGGAUGUUCGGGUCCGGCGGGUUCGGCCGAACUUUGAAAAAAAAAGUCUGGGUUAGGGCUCGAACUUGACCCCGAACCUGAACCCUAUUGAAGUCAAUGGGGACAUGAACUUUUGGGCACAAAAAUGGCUCUAAAAAACUCUUGGAAAGGGCUAGAGGGCUGCAAAAGGAAGUAAAAUGGGGGUAAGAGUAGGACAAGUGCCCUGCAAAUAAAUGUGGAUAGGGAAAUCACUUAAAAAUAACAUAACAUAAGCACGGUAUUAGGGAGCUAUCUACCAAAAGGCUGAAAGACCUAAAUUGGUAACCUAAAUUGGUCUUUCAGCCACAUUUACUAAUACUAAGUAAAGAUUACUUAGUAUUAGUAAAUUCAGCCCCUACUCACUAUACCGCGAGUAGGGUCGUGUCUAGUAAACAGUGAGCAGCCAGUAGCUGCUUCCUCAAUAAGUGAGGGAGUUCUGCGGCUGGGCUCGCUUCUGGGAUACCUCUGAUCUUUUUUUUUUUUUAAAUAAAUUCUUUGUUUGUUAAGUCUUCAAUUU